rnacentral:rRNA from 1 species
AACGAACGCUGGCGGCAUGCCUAAUACAUGCAAGUCGAACGAGACCUUCGGGUCUAGUGGCGCACGGGUGCGUAACGCGUGGGAAUCUGCCCUUGGGUUCGGAACAACAGUUGGAAACGACUGCUAAUACCGUAUACGCCCUACGGGGAAAGAUUUAUCGGAAUUGGAUGAGCCCGCGUUGGAUUAGCUAGUUGGUGGGG